rnacentral:rRNA from 1 species
UACGUAGGGUGCGAGCGUUGUCCGGAAUUAUUGGGCGUAAAGGGCUCGUAGGCGGUCUGUCACGUCGGGAGUGAAAACUCAGGGCUUAACCCUGAGCCUGCUUCCGAUACGGGCAGACUAGAGGUAUGCAGGGGAGAACGGAAUUCCUGGUGUAGCGGUGAAAUGCGCAGAUAUCAGGAGGAACACCGAUGGCGAAGGCAGGUCACUGGGCCGCAACUGACGCUGAGGAGCGAAAGCAUGGGGAGCGAACAGG